AACGAACGCUGGCGGCGUGCCUAACACAUGCAAGUCGAGCGCGAAAGGAGCAAUCCGAGUAGAGCGGCGCACGGGUGCGUAACACGUGGAUAAUCUGCCUCAGGGUUGAGGAUAACCUUCCGAAAGGUUGGCUAAUACUCGGUAAGCUUACGGUGACUUCGGUCGCUGUGAGAAAACUAGACCUCUAUUUAUAAGUUUAGGCCCAGAGAUGAGUCCGCGGCCCAUCAGCUAGUUGGCGGGGUAACGGCCCACCAAGGCUACGACGGGUAGCUGGUCUGAGAGGACGAUCAGCCGCACUGGAACUGAGACACGGUCCAGACUCCUACGGGAGGCAGCAGUGGGGAAUUUUCCACAAUGGGCGAAAGCCUGAUGGAGCAACGCCGCGUGUGUGAUGAAGGUCUUCGGAUCGUAAAGCACUUUCGACUGGGACGAAAAACCUUUGGCUAACAUCCAGGGGCCUGACGGUACCAGGAGAAGGAGCACCGGCUAACUCUGUGCCAGCCGCCGCCGUAACAC
rnacentral:rRNA from 1 species